UUUCCGUAGGUGAACCUGCGGAAGGAUCAUUACUGAGUUAGGGUCUUUAUGGCCCGACCUCCAACCCUUUGUUUAAUCUACCAUGUUGCUUUGGCAGGCCCGCUUAGAAAUGGGCCGCCGGAGACCUUUGAGUCUCUGGUCAGUGCCUGCCAGUAGCCUUUCUAAAUUCAUUUAUAACCGUGUCUGAAUAUACAAAGAAAAAUUAAAAUAAAACUUUCAACAACGGAUCUCUUGGUUCUGACAUCGAUGAAGAACGCAGC
rnacentral:misc_RNA from 1 species